GAGGCAGCAAGAAAAAUGAGGGACUUUCAGGGGCAGCUGUGUUUUACUAACCCAGUCAUAAUGCCCCUAAAAAUCCUUAUUGUUCUUGCAAUGUUCAA
rnacentral:pre_miRNA from 1 species